UCAUUCAUUCAUUUCUUGCACACUUGUUUUGUAGGCAUUCAUGGAGUACUCGACACGCAAAACAAACCGAAUAUUUCUAACACUACAAGGUGUUUUGAUGGAAGCUAUGAAGAAGAAAGGUUGCAACAACUUCAAGAUACCUCACAUGAAAAAAGAAACAUUGGAAAGAGAAGAACGUCUGCCAACUUCCAUCCCUUGUGAUCCAUCAUUGCUACAUGAAGCUGAGGCUACUCUUGCUGCAUGAAAAAAUUAGAAUGAUGCUAGUUAGCUUAAGUAGUAGAGUCAUUCUCUUGUAACAAUUAAUUAGAACUAAAUUUAGCCUGUGCUACUCUUGCUGCAUGUAACAAUCAAACCAUAUCUUACCGAUGCUUUGGCAUCAUCCUUUCUGGGCAACAACCAACCGUAAUGCUCGAUGAAAAGGUCGCAGUCCACCUCGACGCGGCCGGCAAUGGCGUCACUCAUGUAGUCCGCGUGGACGAGACCGCAGCGACGGCAUGGCCUGAACCGCGAGUGUGCACGAUUC
rnacentral:lncRNA from 1 species